UUUGCAAUUAUCUUGAUAGUGUUUUCUGUGUUAGGAAAACUUACUGCUGUGUUUGUUACUAUACCUGACCCAGUCAUUGGAGGCAUAUCUGUUGUUGCAUUUGGAACAUUUCUUGGACUUGUAAUGUCAAACCUCCAGUAUAUAGACUUAAAUUCCUCUAGAAAUUUAGCUGUCAUUGGAAUAUCUUUGUUAAUUGGCUUAAUGGUUCCAAAUUGGACAAAGAAACAUCCAGAGUCACUUUCAACAGGCCUACCAGACCUAGAUCGCCUGCUACAAACUAUUCUAUCAAAUCCAAUGAUUGGUGGAUUUGUCGCUUUCUUCUUAGACAAUACAAUUUCAGGGUCAAAAUUAGAGCGAGGUUUAGCAGAGUGGCAUACC